rnacentral:lncRNA from 1 species
GUAUACUACUGAUAUUAUUGGAGGGAGAAUUAUGAUUCAAUGGAGGGCACAUCUAUGGCCUUGCAAGGUGGAGAUCGAUCUCGGCUUCAAAAGAGGUUGUUUGGAGAUUGCCAUGAAACUAUUGUGGCAGUUGAUGAGGGAGUAAGUUCGAGUGGUGUAGAUGGUGAGGUAGUGUCUCCAUAUGGAGUUAAUGAGACUCAUGAUGUUAUGGCGGUGCAAAAAGAAAAUAUGAAGACAAAAAUGGGAAGAUAGAUGAGAAACAAAAUUUCAUUAACAAUGUAUAAGGAUGUUAUCAGUCAUGUCAUUACAAAAGUAAAGUUCUCAAAACGUUCAUAUGCUUAACAACAUGCCUCAAGUACUCCUUAUACUAAUAUUUACUUUGUAAAUAGUGAACGGAUUUUUGCUAGACAUCAAAAUUAUGUUACAGAUUUG